GACGGAGGGUGCUAGCGUUGUUCGGAAUUACUGGGCGUAAAGGGCGCGUAGGCGGCUUGUUAAGUCGGGUGUGAAAGCCCGGGGCUCAACCCCGGAACUGCACCCGAGACUGGCAGGCUGGAGACCGGGAGAGGAGAGCGGAAUACCCAGUGUAGAGGUGAAAUUCGUAGAUAUUGGGUGGAACACCAGUGGCGAAAGCGGCUCUCUGGCCCGGUUCUGACGCUGAGGCGCGAAAGCGUGGGGAGCAAACAGG
rnacentral:rRNA from 1 species